AGAGGAGGGACCCUCUAUUUAAGGCAGGGGAGUGACAUCAUUGAGGUUCUUCACUGACUCCCCACCCAAAGGAGACUCUUGGAAACACACGAGGAACAAGGAGUGAACUGGGGGGAAGUGCUAGACCCAGGGUAGAGGGGUUUCUAGCCUGUGAGAGGAAUACCUGGGGUUUUUAAGCUGCAAGCAAGGGCAGUUGGCCCCUUUAGAAUCUCUGCAACCUGCUUAAAUCAUCAUUUAGG